rnacentral:rRNA from 1 species
CCUACGGGAGGCAGCAGUAGGGAAUAUUGCACAAUGGGGGAAAGCCUGAUGGAGCGACGCCGCGUGAGUGAAGAAGGAUUUCGGUACGUAAAGCUCUAUCAGCAGGGAAGAACAUGACGGUAAGUGACUAAGAAGCCCCGGCUAACUACGUGCCAGCAGCCGCGGUAUUACGUAGGGGGCAAGCGUUAUCCGGAUUUAAUGGGUGUAAAGGGGGCGUAGACGGUAGCGCAAGUCUGAAGUGAAAUCCCAUGGCUUAACCAUGGAAGUGCUUUGGAAACUGUGCAGCUGGAGUGCAGGAGAGGUAAGCGGAAUUCCAAGUGUAGCGGUGAAAUGCGUAGAUAUUAGGAGGAACACCAGUGGCGAAGGCGGCUUACUGGACUGUAACUGACGUUGAGGCUCGAAAGCGUGGGGAGCAAACAGGAUUAGAUACCCGAGUAGUC